CUUUCUCUCGCUCUCUUUUUCUCUACGGUAGCUGUCGUGUAAUGGUAGUGAAAUAGUCAUCAUUGCUUGAAGCGCAUAGUAAAGAAAGCAUGGCUGCCAGUCGGGUACUCGUAUACGGAGGAAGAGGUGCACUGGGUAGCAAAAUUGUUCAGCACUUCAAAUCUAAAGGAUGGUGGGUAGCCAGCAUCGAUAUCGUUGCCAGUGAGGAGGCAAACGCGAACGUGCUGGUGAAGUUGUCGGAGUCAUUUACUGAGCAAGCAGGACAGGUGACAGCAGAUGUGGCCCAGUUGCUAGGGGACCAGAAAGUGGAUGCCAUCUUGUGUGUGGCAGGCGGAUGGGCUGGAGGAAAUUGCAGCUCCAAAGACCUGUACAAAAACACAGACAUGAUGUGGAAGCAGAGUGUGUGGACCUCUACCAUAUCUAGCCAUCUGGCUGCUGUGCACCUGAAGCAGGGUGGACUACUGACUCUGGCUGGGGCUAAAGCAUCACUGGGUGGUACUAGUGGCAUGGUGGGCUAUGGCAUGGCCAAGUCAGCAGUCCACCAGCUCUGUCAGAGUUUAGCAGGAGAAGACAGUGGGAUGCCCCCUGGAGCUGUGGCAGUUGCCAUACUACCGGUAACCUUGGAUACUCCAAUGAACAGGAAGUUCAUGCCUGAUGCAGACUUUGGUUCCUGGACACCACUGGAGUACAUUGCAGAAACUUUCUUCAGUUGGGCCACCGGUGCGGAUCGUCCAGCAUCGGGAAGUCUGAUGCAGCUCACCACCACCGGAGGCAAGACACAGGCCCUACCCACACAAUAAGGCACAUUUCCUACCCACACAAUAAGGCACAUUUCCUACCCACACAAUAAGACACAGGCCCUACCCACACAAUAAGACACAGGCCCUACCCACACAAUAAGACACAGGCCCUACCCACACAAUAAGACACAGAACCUACCCACACUAUAAGACAUAGGCCCUGCACCCCUAAUCAGACACAGGCCCCAACCACACAAUAAGACACAGGCCCUACCCACAAAAUAGGAGACUGACCAGACUGACCAGGUGAAUAUAGGUAAAAGCUAUGAUCCCUUAUUGAUGCCACUUGUUAAAUCCACUUCAAUCAGUGUAGAUGAGGGGGAGGAGACAAGUUAAAGAAGGAUUUUUAAGCCUUGAGACAAUUGAGACAUGGAUUGUGUGUGUGUACCGUUCAGAGGGUGAAUGGGCAAUAACAAGUAUUUAAGUGCUUUUGAACGGGGUAUGGUAGUAGGUGCCAGGCGCACCGGUUUGUGUCAGGAACUGCAACACUUAACAGUUUCCCUUGUGUAUCAAAAACGGUCCACCACCCAAAGGACAUCCAGCCAACUUGACACAACUGUGGGAAGCAUUGGAGUCAACAUGGGCCAGCACGCUUUCGACACCUUGUAGAGUCCAUGCAUCAACGAAUUGAGGCUAUUUUGUACAGUCAGUGUAUGUGACCUUAUAGAAAUGUAAGCAAGGUUUGAAAUUAUUAUGUUUUAGUCAAAUAUUAUAUCUGUUUGGACUUCUUGUGGUGGAUUUACCGUCGAUAAAUGGCUGAAUAUAGUUGAUUAUCCCUGGUAUAGAGAGAUGGAGAGGAGGGAGGGGAAGGAAGGAGAGCGGGGACGGUAAGACAAAUAUGCCCACAAUACCAUCUAGUGGUAGAAUGAAUCAGUUGCAGAGGAAACAUGAACCUCAAGUACAUUUACUUAUUUUGAAUUAUUUUGAUCCAGUUUGAGAUUGAUGAAAAUGAGUAAGCCGCUGUCUUAAUGUCAAACGUACAAUACAUUUCAGUGGAGUUGCGAUACUCUGUGUCUUGUGCCGAGUGUACCCAAUAUGCGUGUGAAUGAUUGGUUGAAGAUGUACUGUCUAAGUACUAUUAUCAAUAUCUCAUAACAUUUAAAAAACAAAUUGUGCUGUUUGAUGUGGUUUUACCUCCUCUGUCUCAAUGUGAAUAAAAAUCCACAUUAAUCACAA